rnacentral:rRNA from 1 species
CUACCAGGGUAUCUAAUCCUGUUUGCUCCCCAUGCUUUCGUAUCUCAGCGUCAGUACCCGUCCAGUUGGCCGCCUACGCCACUGGUGUUCCUCCGAAUAUCUGCGAAUUUCACCUCUACACUCGGAAUUCCGCCAACCUCUCCGGGACUCUAGCGAUCCAGUUUCAAAAGCAAUUCUGGGGUUGAGCCCCAGGCUUUCACUUCUGACUUGAAAAGCCGCCUACAUACGCUUUACGCCCAGUGAUUCCGAACAACGCUUGCCCCAUUCGUAUUACCGCGGCUGCUGGCAC